ACCCAAAUGUGACCUCAGUCUGACCCUGAGCACAGGGGCAAGACUCUCUAGCCAGGAACCUUUGGGUUUAAGUCCCAGCAGGAGCAUUGGCACAACCCAGUCCCCACCUGCAGCCUGGGCUGCAGCCAACAGCCAAUGCCUCUGGAAAAGGGUUUAAAAAAGCAACCCUGACACACGUAGCAGCAGGAGGGGAAAAUAAAUCCCGUUCCAGCCCCAUGGAGCAACCAGCAAAGCCCAGACGCAUGGGCAACACCCAGAGCAGAAUAUAGACAUUGCUACAUCUACAUCAUCCCCGACCAGUGGCUGUGUCCAACCUCUUCUUGAGCACCUCCAGUGAUGGAGACGCCACACCUUCCCCAGGCCACUGCCUCGAUGCUUGAACACUGCAGAAAGUUUUUCUAGAGAACCAAUCUAAACAGACUUUGCUGCAACUUUAAGCCACGGGUCUGGGCCGUACUCUGCAGUAAGAAAGAAAAGCUGCUUUCCCUCUCCUUUAUGACAGCCCUUCAGGUAUUUGCAGACUGCCAUCAUAUCCCCUCUUAAGUGCCUUUUCAACAAGAUGAACGUGCCCAACUCCUUCAGCCUCUCUUGGCCUGACCUGCCUUCCAAGUCCUUUAUCAUCUUUAGUGCCCGUCUCUGGACCCUCUAACUUCUCCCCAUCUUUUUUAAAGAUAUGGAGCCCAAAAACACACAAACGAUUCCCCAUGGGAGAGGGGCUGAAGGGAACAUUGUGCUUGCAUCUGACUGCCUGAACAGCACAGCUCCCAGAUGAAUUUCUGGCUGCAGGACAGCCUGCCUUCCAGGCUGGGAUUUGAGAGGCCUGCUGUGCUCCCCACCCCGGUGAGCAGGAAUGCGGCUCCUCCCCGGCCCAGACAGGAAGCCUGCGGCAGGGCAGAGAGCUGGGCUUGGAAUCCCAGGCUCGCAACCAAGCUCCCCUUGCUCGGGUGCCCUUAACUCAGGGAGCAGCUGCAUUCGCAGCUCGCGGAGACUGGUCGAGGGCUGCUGCUCAGGGAGUCGAGCUGGAACCCGGCGUGGUGAAAAGCACGAGUGGUCCUACCCGGCCCAAGAGAUGCUUGGCUCACAGCCUCAAACCUUCAGCCUGGGGAAAGAAACACACGCGCACACUUCAGCAGAUUCCAUGCAUCCAGACCCGCUCCACUGAUAAAAGCAAGGCAAAGCGCUGACAGGCCGGGUUGAGUGACCGUGACAGCCUCCAAGGAGGGAACAAGGCCUGGAGCGAGCACCCUGGUAUAUUCCAUGCAAAAAAGUUUCUUGAAUGAAGCGUGGAGGAAAAAAUGGAAAGGAAAGCGAGUACAGCAGAGUAGCAGGUACCUCCCCCUGGCGGCUGCCAGUCUGUAGCACAUGAUGCCGGGAGCCCAUCACCGUCACCAUCGUCGUCACCGUCACCGUCACCUCCAGCGCCUGGCGUUCAGAUCAAGAGCAUUGCGACUUCUCUCCUCCCCUCCAAUGACUUGGCUGGUGACACAGCACAGCUGCAGGUCAGGUCGCUGUUCCAGGAUCUUCUUGCUCUUUCCGUGGCAGGCUGGAACUUGCUGCGUAAGGGACACGGUUACAGGCCCAGCCCUCAAUUGGGCACGGCGAGAGCCAGAGACUUGCGAGUCGGUUGCCAUUAGAGGGUAAUUUUAAAGAUUAGUUUUUAUUUGGAGGAAAACAGAAAAAAAAACCGAAAACAGAACAAAACAAAAAAAAACCCAAGGGGGUGGGGGGGGGGUGGGCAGGGGGACACA